CAGCCGCCGCGGUAAUACGUAGGUGGCAAGCGUUGUCCGGAAUUAUUGGGCGUAAAGCGCGCGCAGGCGGAUAGGUCAGUCUGUCUUAAAAGUUCGGGGCUUAACCCCGUGAUGGGAUGGAAACUGCCAAUCUAGAGUAUCGGAGAGGAAAGUGGAAUUCCUAGUGUAGCGGUGAAAUGCGUAGAUAUUAGGAAGAACACCAGUGGCGAAGGCGACUUUCUGGACGAAAACUGACGCUGAGGCGCGAAAGCCAGGGGAGCGAACAGGAUUAGAUACCCCUGUAGUCCCUGUCUCUUAUACC
rnacentral:rRNA from 1 species